GGCUGGUACAUGAAGUUCUAAGUCACCUUCACAUUGCUGACAGUCACUGUGUGUUCACCUAAAACACACUGCUUUCUUGCUCAAUUUUCUGAUUAGGCCAAUAGGAUCCAUCUCUAUAAGAAUAUAUUUACCUUCCUGCCUUAAAUGACAUCUCUGUCUUUCUAUUUGCCUAUUCUCCUCUUUUAAUGUUCUCUCUCCACCACUUCUCUGUGUUUCUGUUUCCAACACCCAUUUACUACUUACCUUUGGCAGCAUGUUCUGUUAUCUGAUUUACAUGUAGAGACUCUCCAGCUUUGAUUUCAGCCAAAAAUUAUGGAGGUUGGAGUUGUUGUUGUUGGUGGGGUGUGUGUGUGUGUGUGAGUGUAUACACACUCACAACCACACAUACAUAUUUCAAAAUUGGAGACAUUAUGUGUUUGCAUUUCUGGCUAGCAGAUCUUAUCCAUAGAUGUUCUUAACAAUAAAUGUUGAACACAUAUUUCUAGUGCUUGGCAGUGUAGUGUAAAAUCUGUCUUCAUUGUGUUAAAGCAUGUACAAAAUUGCAAGAGUCAACAAAAUUGCAAGAAUGACAAAAUAUUCAUUUGAAAUUUAUUCUUCUGAAAAUUCAUUUUUGUUAUGUGUUUGUCUAAUUAUUUAACUUCGCAGGAUGUUCAACAUGAUCAAUGCCAAAAUAAAUAUCAGAAUACUUGAAAAUAAGGUACUAAUAGUAGGAGUUCCUGAUUACCAGAUGCCUAUGAUGUGACAGGCAUCACCUUGUGGCCUUUGCUUGACAAUCCUCUACUGGAGAAAAAAAGCAAAACAGAAAACGAACUUAAAAUCUACCUUUUCCCAGAACGAAGCAGGUCAAAUCCUUCAUUUAUUUUUUCAAAAGGUCAAGGCUGCUGAGAACUCUGAUCUCUGAGUACUGUUCCCUAUUACCUACACUGUUGGACCUUCUAGAAAAUCUCAGCCAUGGAAACUUGUUGGUCUCUGGAGACUUUUUCAGCAGGAUUCUAGAGAAUUCUGGGUGUUGAACAUGGUCAAUGCCAAAAUAAAUGUCUGAAUACUUGGAAGGAAGGUACUAAUAGGAGGAAGUUUCUGAUUAUCAGUUGCCCACGAUGUGACAGGCACACUGUGGCCUGUGCUAGACCAGGAGAUGGGUGAGUCCUUGCGGAUUUCUUCCCUGCUUGAGUGCAUAAAGCAGGUAUAUUGCACAGAUAUUUAUUUUUGCAUGAGUAAUACCCAACUCCAAUUUUACAUGUGAUCUAGGUCUUUAAGCCACACCCAUUAGAUUGUUCUCAGACCGUCAAAUCGUAAAGAAAGGGCAUGGAAACAGUACUCAAAACAUUGAUCUUUCCAUCAUCAGAGAAUCAGAAACUCAGUCACAGCAAAGGUGCUCACCGUGCCAGGAAUUUUUACUCCACCUAAAACCAAUCAUCAAUGAUUCAGCCCCUCCCUGUGUCAGGCACUAAGCUGGGUCCAGUGGAUGGCAGUGAUGAAUAAGGCAUGACCUCCACCCUACCAGGGGCAGUAUGGGCAGCAAUGAUCACAUGGCUUUUGGGACAUAGCAGACCCUAUUCUUUACUAGCUCUGUGUACUGGCACUUAUUAUUUCACUUUUUUUUUUUUUCGGAGACAAAGUCUUGCACUGUCACCCAUGCUCGAGUGCAGUUGUGCAAUCUCGGCUCACUGCAACAUCCACAACCCAGGGUCAAGCGAUCCUCCUGCCUCAGCCUCCUGAGUAGCUGAGAUUACAGGUAAUGAUGAGUAGUGCGGAGAUGUGACUCCAAAGCCUCAAGAAGGACAGACCAGCAUUCGUGCAAGAGAUCCAGCUGUCUUCUUUUCCCCAGAAGCCCAUAAUUUACCUGAACCUGAGAAAGAAUAUUGUAACUGGCAGAAAUUAUCUUCAGUUUAAAUCCUUUAUUUUGGGUGUUAAAUAAUUUGGCAAAAUAAUGAGAUUAAUAUUAUUUUAAAGAUUGCUAGAAAAAAUUGUCACAUUUCGUGUAGGUGGGUAAAUAACAACCUUAAAGCUUGUUUUGGGAUGAGGUGCAAAAUGUAUAGCAGGAGAAGGAAUUUAGUAGCAGUAAAAAGAACUUGAGAAUGGAAUAGAUAAAUAAAACUCUGUAGAAUAUUACAAUAAGUAGAAUUAAUUUUAAGUUAAUAGAACAAUAUUUGAAAAUCCCACAUUCAAAGCCAUCAAUUCUUACUCAGUGUUUCAUUUUGAUUUUGGAACUGAAGCCAAAGUUGUCCAGGGAGCUGAAAUGCUUGCUGGUCUUGCUGUGGCCGUGGAGGCUGGACUCCUGCCAAGAAGAGCAUCUGUGAGAGAGAAAAAUGUCUGUUUACAUUCCUCCUGUGAAGGGAGUUGGGAAAUAAUCUAAGAAGCCUAAUCCAAAAGCAAAGAUGUUCCAUCUAGUCUUCUCUGUGAGAGUCAAAUAACAAACCAUCUGAAUGUUCCAAGUGUUUAUCUUGAUGUAUUUUAAAUUAUUCUGAUAAUGUUCUUGGCAGAGGCUUAAAAGUGUAAUUACUGAGACGAUGUAGAAAUAUCAAGAGUUUAUUAAAACAAUACAGAGUAAUACAAAUGGUGUGGUUGUCACAAUAUAAAAAUAUUUAUAAACUAAAGAGUUCUUUAA